rnacentral:piRNA from 1 species
UGGGCUUUGAUCUGGGUCUUUGCUUUGGUGU